AUGAUCUACCUAUUAGUUCGUAUACAUGUUUCUGAAAAAAAAAUCAUAUACCUCGUUGCCCCCUCUCGGUCUUUAUCCUGGCUCCGCCCCUGCCUCUUCCAACGCCGCUGCGCCGUCAGACUCCGCCCGCUGGCACCUCGGCUGCCGCGCCUCUGGCGUGACGGGUGCCAGCCGUCUCGGCUCCGGCAUCUCCGGCCGCCCCGGGCCGUGCCCAUCAUCGCGCCUGGCGACCAGUGGGGCAACUGGGCGUUCCUCCUCUCCGCCGCGGCCUUCGGCACCUGGGCGGAGGAGCGGACGGCGUGGGGCGCGGCGCUGAGCGGGGCGCUGGUGAGCAUCCUGGCCGGGCUGGCGGCGUCGUCGGCGGGGCUGGUGGCGCCCGGAGCGCCCGCGCAGGCCGUCGUCAUGGACUACCUGCUCCCCGUCGCCGUGCCGCUCAAUUGUAAUCGGCACGACGGUGGCUUAUUUGCUAGCGGUGAAUUUCGUGGCGAUCUCGGAGGCGCUGGGCACGACGCCGUCGGUGGUGGCGGCCGGCGUGGCGGCGGACAACCUCAUCUCGGCGCUCUACUUCACGGCCUUCUUCGCGCUGGCGUCCAAGAUACCGCCGGAGCCCAAGAGCGCCACGUCCACGGAGGACGGCGGCGAGGCCCGGGGCAGCAUGUCGGUGCUGCACGGCGGCGCGGCGCUGGCAUGUCGUUCGCGAUCUGCAGGGCCGGCACGGCGGUCGCGGCGGGGCUGGGCGUGGCCGCCGGCGGCACGCUGCCGUGCGUGACGGCGCUGGUGGUGGCCCUGGCGACGGCGUUCCCGGCCUUGCUGGGCCGGCUGGCGCCCUCCGGCGAGACCAUGGCGCUCAUCCUCAUGCAGGUCUUCUUCACGGUGGUGGGCGCCAACGGCAGCGUGGUGGACGCGGUGACCAAGGCGCCCGCCGUGUUUGCGUUCGCGGCCGUGCAGGUGGCCGUGCACCUCGCCGUGGUGCUCGGGGCCGGGAGGCUGGCGGGGCUGGACAGGAAGCAGCUGCUCAUCGCGUCCAACGCCAACAUCGGCGGGCCGACCACGGCCGCCGCCAUGGCGACGGCGAAAGGGUGGGGCUCGCUCGUCGUGCCCGGCAUCCUCGUCGGCAUCUUCGGGAUCUCCGUUGCCACGUUCCUCGGCAUCGGCUUCGGCAUGAUCGUGCUCCGGAGGAUGUCCGGCUUCUAG
rnacentral:rRNA from 1 species